UACGUAGGGUGCGAGCGUUAAUCGGAAUUACUGGGCGUAAAGGGUGCGCAGGCGGCCGGGUGUGUCAGAUGUGAAAUCCCGAGGCUCAACCUCGGAACUGCGUCUGAAACUACUCGGCUAGAGUACUGGAGAGGGUAACGGAAUUCACGGUGUAGCAGUGAAAUGCGUAGAUAUCGUGAGGAACACCAGAGGCGAAGGCGGUUACCUGGACAGUUACUGACGCUCAGGCACGAAAGCAUGGGGAGCAAAAGGG
rnacentral:rRNA from 1 species